GCCGGCCAGCAUCCCGCUCCCUCUGACCCGCAGUCUGUGCGGGCAGUAGGCCCUGAGUGGUGCCAGGAGGAGGUGGCCUUAGAAAGGCGGAGACCCAACGAGCAGAGUGAGUCGGCCUCCGGCUCCACCUGAAAGCGCCAUCUUGUCGCCACUUCCCUCAGGAGCAGACCCUGACCGCAGUGUAUGUAAGAUCAAUAAAUAGCU
rnacentral:lncRNA from 1 species